rnacentral:lncRNA from 1 species
GACCUCAACGAAUCCGUGGAGGUACUGUCAGACGAGCUAGAUCAUGGCGAUUAUGCCAGUGGAUCAUCAGAUGAUAGCGACGACGACGAAGGAGGUGAUCCUUCUCAGCCUCUUGCCAUUCAGCAGAGGGCCGUGGUGCCCUCAACGGAGAGAUGGACGGAUAGUGACAUAGCCCGUCAUGAUGCCAUGGUACUAGCAUUUCUGAUCAUCUUGCAAUUUUCACCAAUAAUUCGUUGACACAACAAUGUCGGCUUCACGCAGAUUAGAGACAUGUAGGGGCUCCUUGAGAUUGUGUUGGAAGGCCUUCGGAUGGUACCCCCUCUCCCACAUAGCGAAAAGGCAAUAUUAAUACGAAUUUAUCAACGUGUCAAGGAGUUUAUUGAGCUCUGCAGUGGCGCUCGAAUUAAUGGCAUUGUAUGGUCGGCACUACCAGGCAGGGCGCGUCCAAGCCUCACCACUUCAAUGGAUCAUGAGGUAUAUUUGCAAAUUCAUCGUAUCUAACACUUGGUACUAUGCGUGUGUGUGUGUGUAAUAUGUUCUGCUGUGAACCGUGACAGACCGGGACGCGCCAGGACUCAGUGCUAUUGCGUAUGCCAGCCAGCACUCCCUUGCAGCGCUCUCAGUUCAGCGGUUCACAGCCAGAACGUCAG